rnacentral:rRNA from 1 species
GAUGAACGCUGGCGGCGUGCUUAACACAUGCAAGUCGAACGAAGCACUUAAGAUUGCUUCUUCGGAUGACGUCUUUUGUGACUUAGUGGCGGACGGGUGAGUAACGCGUGGGUAACCUGCCUCACACAGGGGGAUAACAGUUAGAAAUGACUGCUAAUACCGCAUAACCCGAUAGGAUCGCAUGAUCCAGACGGAGAAGAUUUAUCGGUGUGAGAUGGACCCGCGUCUGAUUAGCUAGUUGGUGAGGUAACGGCCCACCAAGGCGACGAUCAGUAGCCGGCCUGAGAGGGUGAACGGCCACAUUGGGACUGAGACACGGCCCAAACUCCUACGGGAGGCAGCAGUGGGGAAUAUUGCACAAUGGGGGAAACCCUGAUGCAGCGACGCCGCGUGAGUGAAGAAGUAUUUCGGUAUGUAAAGCUCUAUCAGCAGGGAAGAAAAUGACGGUACCUGACGAAGAAGCCCCGGCUAACUACGUG